rnacentral:lncRNA from 1 species
UCUAAACCUGCAACUUCACAUCAACUUUUACCAUUUUCAAGAGCUUCCAAGCCAGGAAUGUUAGAGCUGGAAGGAACAUGAUAAAAAGAAGGAAAGUGAAAGUGAACAGUUUACACAGCCAGCAGCACAGUAACCGGCAAGGGGCAAACAAACCCAUAGAUGCUUCCUGAAUGAAACAAAUGAGAUACAGGGAAAAGAUUAAAACCAAGAACCUCUGACUUCCAGACCACUUGACUCUGCUGCCUGACCCUCUUCUUAAAUCCAUGCUGCCUGAGUAAACGUCCAGGCUCCACAUAUUUAGACCACAUCGGGAAACUAGACUUCAUACUGAGACUUACGUUCCCACAUAUAUGGAUUGUGGGCAAUCAGAAGCUCAAAGUGGAAGCUCUGAAGAUGGGAUCCUUUCUGGUGUGUUGAAAAAUCCCUGGGCUUGUGGGUCAGCAGGAUGGGUGUGGUGUCUCUCAGCUAUGGGAAUCAAGCUGCUGUGAUACGAGCUGCUGUAAAAACGGAGGCCUCCAGACCAACAGCCAGGGAGUAGAGGAGAGACUCACAUUAGUGGCCACUGGACCAGUGGGAGGAAGAGCUUAUGGGAAGAGACUUCUUUGGCUCAUCUCAUGUUACAUCUUGGAGUGACCUCAAAGGCCCCAUCCCAGAAGGCACAGCCACAAAAAACGUGGCCUCCACCAGCAUGGAUCCCUGAAUGUAAUGGGAUCAGAGCCUCCUGCCCACACCUGCCCUGGCUUAUCUAAUCCUUAGAAGAUGAAGUUCAAGCUCAAGUUCUUGUUCCUCUCCAGCCUCACUGCAUGAUUCCUCAUUUCCUGUCUCUACACAGCCCAGUAUGUUGGAGACAUCAAAGGCCGCUGAGGAGAGUCAUCCAUCAUCUUGACACCUUUUAUGAGUUUACUGCUCCUGAUGGUGAUUAUAGGAAAGGCUGCUUCAAAGUGAUAACUGCCAGAGGAGGUCAGAAUAAUACUGGAAGUCCUCCAUCUAUUUCUCAUCAUCUCACUCUUGAGUGUGCACUGCCAACAAUGUCCCUGAAUGAAGAGCCACUGAUUACAUCUAAGUUUUGGCUGUUGAAAGGAAGUUCUACGUAUAAGGAAGUGCAUUGGACUGACAGUCAGGUCAGCAUCUGGAUUGUGCUGUGAGCUCUCGUAUGUAUCACCUCAUGUGAUCUUCGUGAUCACUUUGCAAAAUGUGGAUUUUGCAAAAUGAGGCCACAAAUAGUCGCCUUUCUCCAAUUUUCUCAUUUCUUUGACUUUACUUUGUGACUUUUUGGAUUGUUGUUUACGGUAUGCUACCUAAAGUUUUUCUCACUUCAGAGAAGAGGAAGCUAGCUAAUGCUGUCAGUGUCACAGGACACGUCAUGCUUACAAUGAUAAGGUUAAUAUGUGGCACACCUCUGACUUGAACAAGGCCUGUUUGUUUACAAAGUCAAUGGUUACACUCUUACCCUAGAGUUCUAGUCUCCAUUCUGCUGCCAAUUACCCGAUGACCUAUGUGACUUUAGACAUGUGAAAUAAC